rnacentral:lncRNA from 1 species
CUCGCCGGUCUCCGGCUUGCUCUUGGUCACGCUGAGCGUGAUGUUGCCCGUGGACGAGGACGCGUUCUUCACGUUCUCCUUAGCCAACUCCUCCUCGUCUCCUCUGCCUCCGGCGGGUAGCGCCACGGCGUUGUCGUAGCCAGUAGAGCCACCACGGCCCUUUGGGUCGAGGAAAGACGAACCCCUGUAGCUGGGCACGAGGAAGGGCCCGCUGAAGCUCUCGGGCUUGCCGGUAGCGACGAGCUGCUUGACGGUGAAGAGGAAGGGCACUCGCUCGCCUCCGGGGAGCUGCACGGUGACGGCCGCGUAGUCGAUGCCGUCCUUCUCCUCGAACUUGAGGGUGCCGUCGGCGCCGACCUCGAGCGGGCCUUCCAUCUCGUCAAGGGUGUAGGUGAGACGGGUCAUGAGCUUGGUUUUCUGGAAGGCCGGCGGCUCGUUCUUCUGGAUGCCCUCGGCCUUGACGGUGAAGGAGGUGGGCUCCAGGCAGAACUUCUUCAUCUCGUACUUGCCGGCCUUGAAGGGGAAGGAGUCGACGCCGCCGUCGAUGGUCGGGCACUGGUUCGCGGUGCCGGUACCCUUCACCUCCAUGUAGGUCUUGCUCUGGAUCUCGUCGAAGGUCAGCCUCUUGGGCGCCCCCUCCGCGCUCGCGCCCUGCACCCACGCCUGUCACUCUAGCUAGCUGGACUGGAGUGGAGUAAACGGCCAUGGACGGCAAUAGAAUGGAUUAGUCAGCUUACGGAGACGAGGAGGGCAGAGGUGGCGAGGGCGAAGCCGGCCAUCUUGGCGGCGUCGGCGCACUUGCUUGCGACCUCCCUGAUGUCGGACUGCAGGGAGCAGGUGAUCCUGGCGCCAGCGUCAACGCCGAACGCCCGGGCGACGUGCGACGACGGCCGCGCGGAGGAGGCCCGGCCGCCGAUCUUGGCCGGCAUCAGCGUGGCCGCGGCUUGGAGAGACGCUGCCAUGUUGGUCGGUGGCUUGG